CCUACGGGUGGCAGCAGUGAGGAAUAUUGGUCAAUGGACGCAAGUCUGAACCAGCCAUGCCGCGUGCAGGAAGACGGCUCUAUGAGUUGUAAACUGCUUUUGUACGAGGGUAAACGCAGAUACGCGUAUCUGUCUGAAAGUAUCGUACGAAUAAGGAUCGGCUAACUCCGUGCCAGCAGCCGCGGUAAUACGGAGGAUUCAAGCGUUAUCCGGAUUUAUUGGGUUUAAAGGGUGCGUAGGCGGUCUGAUAAGUUAGAGGUGAAAUCCCGAGGCUCAACUUCGGAAUUGCCUCUGAUACUGUUCGGCUAGAGAGGAGUUGCGGUAGGCGGAAUGUAUGGUGUAGCGGUGAAAUGCUUAGAGAUCAUACAGAACACCGAUUGCGAAGGCAGCUUACCAAGCCACUUCUGACGUUGAGGCACGAAAGCGUGGGGAGCGAACAGGAUUAGAUACCCGAGUAGUC
rnacentral:rRNA from 1 species